rnacentral:ncRNA from 1 species
ACGCAUCUCUGGAGAGAAUUCCUCGGAAGAGGGAUCACCCACGGAGCAACUUCCGCCGCAUCAGGACGAUACAUAUUGCAUCUGACGGUAGCGGAAGGCAACUCUCAGGUAAAAGGACAGAGCGA